rnacentral:lncRNA from 1 species
UAGGGUAUUGAUGGGCCUAUGUGGGACAGGGGAGGCGGUCCAGAGAUUAAACGGUACGGGCCGUUGUCGGGCCAGGACCAUUUGGUUGGUCCGAAUGUCAAUGCUCGCGGGCCCAGACAUAGCAGAUGGGCCCGCGACGCGCUCGCAGGACGGGCACAUGGUGAGGGUGGUUGGAGGGGUCAUUUGCAUGUAGAGUUGAGGUGAUAGUUUUAGUGCCCUUAGCUCUUGAACUUCUUUUUGUAAUCUCCUAUUUUCUUCAGUUAAAUUUUCACAACAUCUCUU